UACGAAGGGGGCGAGCGUUGUUCGGAAUUACUGGGCGUAAAGGGCGCGUAGGCGGCGACCCAAGUCAGAUGUGAAAGUCCUGGGCUUAACCUGGGGACUGCAUUUGAUACUGGGUUGCUUGAAUUCGGGAGAGGAUAGCGGAAUUCCCAGUGUAGAGGUGAGAUUCGUAGAUAUUGGGAAGAACACCGGUGGCGAAGGCGGCUAUCUGGACCGACAUUGACGCUGAGGCGCGAAAGCUAGGGGAGCAAACGGG
rnacentral:rRNA from 1 species